AUUGAACGCUGGCGGCAGGCCUAACACAUGCAAGUCGAACGAGUGGCGGACGGGUGAGUAAUGUCUGGGAAACUGCCUGAUGGAGGGGGAUAACUACUGGAAACGGUAGCUAAUACCGCAUACCAUCGGAUGUGCCCAGAUGGGAUUGGCUAGUAGGUGGUGUAAAGGCUCACCUAGGCGACGAUCCCUAGCUGGUCUGAGAGGAUGACCAGCCACACUGGAAUGCAGACACGGUCCAGACUCCUACGGGAGGCAGCAGUGGGGAAUAUUGCACAAUGGGCGCAAGCCUGAGGCAGCCAUGCCGCGGGUAUGAAGAAGGCCUUCGGGUUGUAAAGUACUUUCAGCGAGGAGGCGUUACCCGCAGAAGAAGCACCGGCUAACUCCGUGCCAGCAGCCGCGGUAAUUC
rnacentral:rRNA from 1 species